UGGGGAAUAUUGCACAAUGGGCGCAAGCCUGAUGCAGCCAUGCCGCGUGUAUGAAGAAGGCCUUCGGGUUGUAAAGUACUUUCAGCGGGGAGGAAGGGAGUAAAGUUAAUACCUUUGCUCAUUGACGUUACCCGCAGAAGAAGCACCGGCUAACUCCGUGCCAGCAGCCGCGGUAAUACGGAGGGUGCAAGCGUUAAUCGGAAUUACUGGGCGUAAAACGCACGCAGGCGGUUUGUUAAGUCAGAUGUGAAAUCCCCGGGCUCAACCUGGGAACUGCAUCGGAUACUGGCAAGCUUGAGUCGCGUAGAGGGGGGUAGAAUUCCAGGUGGAGCGGUGAAAUGCGUAGAGAUCUGGAGGAAUACCGGUGGCGAAGGCGGCCCCCUGGACGAAGACUGACGCUCAGGUGCGAAAGCGUGGGGAGCAAACAGG
rnacentral:rRNA from 1 species